rnacentral:lncRNA from 1 species
GGGCAGCAAGAAGCACAGCACCGCCAGUUACCACGCAGACAUCCUGGGGAACUGAGGCUCCGUACAGAUGGUGAGGUUGUUCCCACAGCAAAUCUGCCACCAAAGGGGAUAGGAAAUCUUGGCAGGAAGCUCUCUCAAGCACCAGGGGAGAGUCUCCCAGUGACCUUGGCCUCCACCCAACCCUUUCUCACUACUAAAUGAGGAAAGCAUCUUGAACAGAUUCUGCCAAGACUGAUGGGACUUGGGCCUUUCUCAGCGCUGGAAUGUUAGGUGAAAGCAAGCAGACACAUGUUAACAACUAGACACAAAACAGCUUCGAUACUAUUCAAUCACAACAAGGGAGCCCUCUUCCUGGAGGCUCCUAGCCACGUAGGAGAGAGACCAGCUUUCCUGGGUGUGUUCGCCCGAAGGCAUUCGCUUUCUCUGGCAAGAUCUUACGGUUAACCAAGAUUUCCAUGGAGUGAGCAGUCCUUGGCAGAAGAAAAACAGAAGCAAGACCACAAAAUAUUGAAAAGACUCCUGAGGCUGGCGUGGAGUUAAUAAUCACUUGUACAAACGGGCGGAACUGGUCUCAAUGGGGCCCAGAAGCAAUGGAUGUAGGGGUAUAUGAUGUGGCAUCGCGGGGUUCGCACAGGCAAGGAAAAAUAUCAGCGGUCUAUUCUUUUCCAUCUCCGAGGCCACCCUCAGGAUAGCUGCUUGAUGGUCUUUGCCUCCAGACCAGGCCUCCCCCAGCCACUGGAGAUGCCUCAGGAGGUCUGACCCACUUAGAGCUGGAGGUGUAGGGCUGGAGAGAUAGCUCAGAAGUUAAGAGCACUGACUGUUCUUCAUAAGGUCCUGAGUUCAAAUCCCAGCAACCACAUGGUGGCUCACAACCAUCCAUAACGAGAUCUGACACUCUCUUCUGGUGUGUCUGAAAACAGCUACAGUGUACUUACAUAUAAUAAAUAAAUAAGUCUUUUAAAAAAAUAAGGAAAAAAAAA